rnacentral:lncRNA from 1 species
AAGACAUUUAAUACUGACCGUAUCAGGAUCCCUCUUAAGUGAGUGCCCAAUAUGAUAGUCCACUAGGGGCUAUUAAAAUUGAUACCUCCCUUAAUCGACCAUCUCUGACAUUCCUCCCUAAUGCUUGUCCUCAAGAUGGACCAGCCGGAAACAUGGUUACAAAGCUUCAAGAUCGUCCUAAGAAAAUCAGACCAUUCAACCAGAACUUGAGGUAAAAUGGUGGUUCCUUCAAUGAUGAUUUGCUUCUGAAGAAUAUGCACUAGAAACUGGUACCCAUACAAGGAAUGGGGGAGGGAUGCCAUUGUAGGUGAAUGGUAUGAUAUGCUAGCACAUAAUAUUAAUCUAUAGCAUUCAACUAAGAUAGUCUGAGAGUAGGUGAUUAUAGAUUGAUACUACUUGUUGUACAACGCAGCAGCACAAGAAGAGUUCGAGCAGUUCGGCCUAACGUCGUGCACGUCGAUGUAGUGGAAGUAGGUGGGUAUCCUCAUGCCUUGCAACAAUAACACAUAUGCCCGCCUGUCCAUUUGCCUCACUUUCAUCGCCGUCACAACAACAGCAGCAACGUCUCCAAAAUAUCCAUGCAUGUAGAGAUGGAAUGUAGGUUGAUAGACAUCAGUUUGCUAUCAUCGGGCAUGCGGCCUAGAGGGAGAGAGCGGGCAGCAGCUAGGGUAUAGGGGAGAACGAGGCAUGUAUUUUCCAUGAUCCUCACCCCUCAUUAUAUAGAUCCCACUAAUAUGCUUCCACCCUAGAGGACCAUUAUGACUAAUAGAACCAAUCCAUAAGUAUCAUUGCCUCUUCAGCACGUCACCAACAAUCUCCCGCUUGCACUAAAGUCAAUCAUCCAUGCAACUGUUCCAACACUUUAAGUGUGUGAUCCAUUAGAUUCAUGUACAGACGGCCAUGACAGAAAACCAUUUUUUGAGUUAUUAGUCAAUAGCAAUAUCUAGUGGUACAGAUUGAAUCAUUAAUACACACAAUGAUCAUAUCAGCUGAACCUUACUCAUGUCUCAAUCCUUUUGCCACAAACAAUGCUUGCAAAUUAACACGUGUCAGAGAUCUCCUGAAGGCUACAUUUAACGGUAUUAUAGACAUUACUGAUCUUACUGAUGCAUUUUUCUUUCUCACGACAUUAAAAAGUGUGGGACAUUGCGAUUUUAGUGGACACGCCCUUAUCCACGAGUCCUCCCAAAACCGCACUUGAGAUCCGUCACCUAGAUCAAACUUGCCUAAUGAGAGAAACUCCAUCUUGACGUUCAUAAGGCUAGGCCAAAAUUGAGAAUCCCCAGGCAUGUGUUGAGCCUACACUAGUACAACAGCUCACUAUACUAGCGCCCCUGUUUUUUGUACAAGCGGUUCUCACAGACCAGGCGCCAGUGUAAAGAAAACGGUGGGACCAGAGAAAUAAACCGCCUCUGUAAAACAUUUUCUGCAGCCGCUUAACUUUGGGAACCGCUUGUGUAAAUGUGAACUUUAUUGAAGCGGC